UGCCUAAAGAAAUGCCAAAAACGGAGGGAAAAGAGAAAGAAAGCUAAGUUCUUCGGUUUUUGUUGCAUUCCCCCUGCUCUUUUCUUGGAGCAAGCUACCCAGGAUUUCAACACGCACACGCACACGCACACGCACACACACACGCUUGAGCCGGACUGUCCUUGUUUGCUUGCAAACAGUCCAGAGGCAACGGCAAUGGAGCCCCAUUAAAUCAGACUCCAAGAGACUGGAAUCUGUGUCCCGCUGGCUCCUUCUCCGACUGCCCCCCCCCCCCAGAAGGGAACAGAUUUCUACAAUCCGGACCUGACAAACGCCACUUCUUAGGCCAAAUAGUCCCACGUGGAUCUUAAGCCACAAAAAGAUUAUUCAAAUACCAUCAAGCUGAAGUCAAGUUCUCCCGGAGCCCAUUGAAUCUUUGCCCCAACGGUCCACACAGGAGCCCUUCCCUGAAGAGCUCCCUUUGCUGUGCUGGAAUCUGUUUCUCAGUGAAUAUGUGAUGAUUGCAUGUUUUCGGCCUGAUUCUUUUCUCUUGCCUCACGUCCCCUGGAGAUCCCGCGGCCUCCUUAUAAAAGCCAUGUGUAUCUUAUCUUUUCCAGUGCAGUUGCUAAAACCAGAAAGCAGGCUGGAAAACAUUUCCCCAAACUGUACUGUUUUUCAUUAUUUCUUUCUGACACCUCCAGAUAACUUGUUAGCAUAUUGUCUUUCUCUAUUCAGCACGGCCCCACUGGGGGCUUGGGGACUGAAUGACAUCACCCAGGCAUUUAUAAUUAGAAACAAAAAUGCCUUUUUCCAAAUCUAUAACACCAGGAGACGAUUGGAGACAUUUUUUAAGUUACUGGUGAAAAUCCCACAUGAAAGAGGUCUUUUCUGAGCAGGCAGCAACUUUGCUGGCUUUUGAGACACUACCGGGAAGGCACUGGAAGCAAGUGAACAACCUUUCCAACCAUGGAUCCCAACGCCACCAUGCAGUUUCGCAGGAAAGCGGUCACUGGGCUCUCGGCUUCUCCCCAGAGAAGCUGUGUUUCUUGAAGUUCCUGGGAGACUCUAAGAAGGGGUCUGAAUUUCCACCACCGUGGAGAGAGAGCGCGGUGACUUCUGAUGGUUGAGUUUCCAUUUGUUCAGCAAGUUCUUACUGACUCAACUUGAAUACACUCCCACUGACAUUCUGGAUUUUUCUGUAAUCUUUUUCUCCUUAAAAGAAUUCAGGAUAACUCCAACAAUCACAAAUGACUGAUUAUGGAGUUUUCAUUUAUUUAACAAGUUCUUUUUGAGGACCUCUCUCAGCAAGUCCUGAGAACCUGCUGACAUCCAGGGUAUCUGCCUAAGAAGAAUCAGACCAGCGCUCCACCCUCUGAUACGCUAGCCACUAGCCACGUGCAAUGAUUUGCAUUUAAAUUUAGAUGAACAAAAAUGAAGGGAAGCUGCGAAUGAAUCUUCUCAGUUGCACUGGCCACAUCUCUGACGCUCAACAGCCACACGUGGCUAGUGGCUACCAUACCCAACAGCACAAACCUAGAGCGUUUUCAUUGUUGUGGAAAGUUCUUUUUGGACAGUGCUGGACUGAUCACCUGACUUGCCUCGAACACUCCUGGAUUACACCUGUUGACGCGGUAUCAUCAUUAAUAGCACCCUCUGUCAAGCCCGAAGUGUCCUGGUUGGGAAAGACAACUGAACGAUGAAAAUGAACUUGGCCACCAUCCCUGCCAGGGCUUUUGUUGAGACCCAGAACCCUCUCUCUUGAUGAAAAAAGUUGCCUGCGUCAGCCCCUGCCUUUUCCUCCUGAUUCUCUCCCACCUGUCCGAUUCGCCAGCAUUAGUAACCGGGGACACAAAUGCAGGGGAAGAGAUGGUCAGAAAUGUCUCCAAGUGAGGGACGUACUUCUCGCUCCAGGAGGCCGGGAGCUCCGUUCCUGCCCACGGAUGCUGGCCGGAGGGAGCUUUGUCACCUGCACUGAGGGGUCCUGUGUGAGCGAUUUGGCCCCACCUCACCUGCGACCUCCUUUCUGAGAUUUUGUAAGUCAUCGCUUUGUGACUCAGUUUCUCUCCGACUGAAUGAACCACACAAGCUUUCUUUACCACCCCUUCGGAGACUGUUGGUAAAACACGCUCGACACACCUUUCAGAGCCUUGGGGAUGAGCCGAGGGCAGGGGGCGGGGGGAGGAAGACUGGGGGAGUACCCCUACCCCCACCACACAUCCCGGGAUGCCGAGGCAUCGCCAGCAUGUGCCCAAGUGCCACCUGGGCCUCCUUUCACUUCCUGGAGUAUCCUGAUGGAGGAUGAAUAAGGCAACCACAAAAAAACAUAACAGACCCGGGUAAGUUCAAAGUCAGGAGUAAGAGACAAAGAUAGAUGGAUAGUUAUUAUAGAUGAUAGAUAGAUAGAUAGAUAGAUAGAUGAUAAAUGGAUGGGUGGAUGGAUGCAGUUAGAAAGACAGAAGAUCAAGAGAAUCUCCACUUCUUCAAACAGGAAUCACUGAGUAGCACCUGCCUCUGGGGCUGGGGAGCGGACUAGGUGGCCGGUGUGUUAGCCAUGCUGGCCGGACAAGUCAGCGUGGGGUUUCUCACCUGGCAGCUAGUUGAGGCACUGGCAAAGAAGGCGUUCACCUCCCCAAGAAAGAAAAAAAGCAUCUGUCUCAAAAGAAAAUAAUCGUCGCAGGUAAUUUUGUGUGUCAUUUCAAAAACUAUCUUUCCAUUUUAUGGUUUAAUACCGUUUUCUUUUGAACUUCACCGGGGCUGGGGAGAGGACCCACGGGCACAUGAGGGCCUCCCAGAUGGCUUUGCAAAUUGUAAGGGCCCAGGCUGCCAUCAGCUCUUAGAUUCUGCGUCACCUGACGUCCUAGUGGCACAGCAGGCCGGGCCGGUGAGGGCGAGGUUGGAGGGCGUACACCAUGUGACGGGGACUAAGAUGAUGGAGGGCUGGCUUCUGCCUGAAUUGGGGGAUGGGAGAGGGGUAGGGGAGACAGAGCAUAGAAAACGGCCUUACCAAUAAGAGCCCAAACUUCCUGCCGGUGUCCGUGCACACAUGACCCAAACAAAGCAGAUGUAGCAAUGGCCAAAGGAGGCGGUUUUCAUUCUAGAAACAUCCACAUCUCCUGCUCCUGCAACCUUCCCAGAUGUCUUCUCGAUUUUUACACAAGCUUCUAAAAAUGGCAUCAACAACCACCCAGUGCCCAGGGCCAUGGCAGGCUAGGUAGUUGAAUCUGGAGGGAGCACUGUGUGGCCAGCCCCAUCAACCUGCCCUCUGCCCCACUGAGGAGGAAGCUGGAGCCGUCACAAUGACCGUGACAUCCCACAGUUCUGGCUUGAACUCUCCCUCUAUGAGGCUUUCCUGCCUCUGAUAACUCAACCUCAGGUCAAGUUGUCAGGUCUUUAUGGCUGAGAUUUUCUUACCUGCUUCUUAAACCUUCAACUGGCUUAAGCAAAAUGGGAACUCACUGGCUCAUAUGACUUAAAGAACUAGGACUGAUAGCUUCAGGCGUGGCUAGAUCCAAGCCUGGGGUCUGAGCCAUAUAUCCACUGAGGUUGUUUCUUUUCCUGCUUUCUUCUACGUUGACUUUGCUCUUGGAUAGGUUCUCUUUCUGGAGCAGUCCCUGGUUCACCUGGUUUACCAGCCCCACCGGAACUAAAACACCUCUUUGCCCGUAAUUCCAGCAAAAGGCUUGGCUGAAGCCUCAUCAGAUGAACUUACACCAUUCGUGAAUCAAUCCACUCGUCAAGCCUAAGAAUCAACUGGACAUUCCUGAAGUCCAGAAUCAGGGUCAUCAACCACACAAUCGGUAAGCAGGGAUGUAGUUUGCCAGAGAAAAGCCAGGGAGCUUUCUCACCUUCACCAGUAGAAAGAAAAUGGAUGCCGUGGAAACCAAAUCCACGAGUGCCCACGACGAGCAGUAAAUGCUCGAUACACUUUAGUCAUUAACCAAAAGUUAAAGACGGGAUCACAGAAGCUCUGGAAUUGCACCCAUAAGCUGGUGGUUCUUCACCGUGACAGGACGCUAAAGAUUCCCACAGAGCUUUUAAAAUUCUUCCAUCCCGGGGCGCCUGGGUGGCUCAGUCGGUUAAGCGGCCGUCUUCGGCUCAGGUCACGAUCUCGCGGUCCGUGAGUUCGAGCCCCGCGUCGGGCUCUGUGCUGGCAGCUCGGAGCCUGGAGCCUGUUUUGGAUUCUGUGUCUCCCUCUCUCUGCCCCUCCCCCGUUCAUGCUCUGUCUCUCUCUGUUUCAAAAAUAAAUAAACGUUAAAAAAAAAUUAAAAAAAUAAAACUCUUCCAUCCCGGUGCCCCACCCUCAGAGAGACUCCGAUUCAGUUGACCCGGGGCUGGGUCCAAGCAGCAGUGGAUGGUAAAUGCCCCCAGGAGAAUCUAAUGCACUGCCAGGGCUGAAAACCACUGCUUUAAGCUAAUGCAUAUGCUUGACUGGUACCCACAGACGUCCUAACCAUAGCACCAAAUCCUUUAAAAGCCCAAAGAAUUAGGAAGUAAUAAUGAUGUGAAGCCUUAGUUCAGAAUUUUAAAAUCUCUCCAGAUUAUUUCUUCCAAUGCUCCACGUGCUGACGCAGAACUUUGUUGGUCAGCUUAAGAAAAAAAAAAGGUGGGGCGUCUGGGUGGCUCAGUGGGUUAAGCGUCCCACUUCGGCUCAGGUCACAGUGUCACGGCUUGGGAGUUCGAGCCCCACGUCGGGUUCUGCGCUGACAGCUCGGAGCCUGGAGCCUGCUUGGGGAUUCCGUGUCUUUCUCGCUCUCUGCCCCUCCCCGGCUCACACUCUCUCAAAAAUAA